rnacentral:rRNA from 1 species
CGCCUCCUGACAAAUUAUAGGAGGUCCAGCCUGCCCAGUGACUCUGUUCAACGGCCGCGGUAUCCUAACCGUGCGAAGGUAGCGUAAUCACUUGUUCUUUAAAUGAGGACUAGUAUGAAUGGCACCACGAAGGUUAUACUGUCUCCUUUUUCUAAUCAGUGAAACUAAUCUUCCCGUGAAGAAGCGGGAAUAAAAAUAUAAGACGAGAAGACCCUAUGGAGCUUUAAACAAACAUACACUUGCCCCUGUUCCUAACAAUUUCAGAAAAUAAACUCUCAUGUAGGCACUUUGAUAUGAAGUUUUAGGUUGGGGUGACCACGGAGCAAAAAACAACCUCCGCAAUGAAAGGGGCUCUCCCCCUAAACUAAGGACUACGACCCUAAGAAUCAACAAAUUGACACCAAUUGACCCAAUAUAUUUGAUCAAUGAACCAAGUUACCCUAGGGAUAACAGCGCAAUCCAUUUUAAGAGCCCCUAUCGACAAGUGGGUUUACGACCUCGAUGUUGGAUCAGGGUAUCCUAGUGGUGCAGCCGCUACUAACGGUUCGUUUGUUCAACGAUUAAAACCCU